GACGAACGCUGGCGGCGUGCUUAACACAUGCAAGUCGAGCGGUAAGGCCCUUUCGGGGGUACACGAGCGGCGAACGGGUGAGUAACACGUGGGUGACCUGCCCUUAGCUCUGGGAUAAGCCUGGGAAACUGGGUCUAAUACCGGAUAUGACUCCAUGACGCAUGUUGUGGGGUGGAAAGCCUUGUGCGGCUAGGGAUGGGCCCGCGGCCUAUCAGCUUGUUGGUGGGGGUGAUGGCCCACCAAGGCGACGACGGGUAGCCGGCCUGAGAGGGCGACCGGCC
rnacentral:rRNA from 1 species